CCCCCCCCCCCCCCCCCCCCCCCCCCCCCCCCAUGCCACACGUCAGGAACCGACCGCUAAACAAUCAAUUGGGCUUCAACCAGCCCCAAUUGCGUAACCCUAACCUUCCCUCCCCGGGGGGCUGCACCUUCUUUUUGGACCUGAACCUCUUACCUCAACCGUGAAUCCUUUCUCACCCCCCCAGAAUAAUUAGCCACACCCCCUUGCCUCCCAGCCAAUAGGACGUGUGUUACUAUCCAGCACAACGGCAGCAUGGUGCCUUUUAUUCCUUCCUGCCCAAGGUGCGGUCUUCCAUUCCUAGCCCCCCACGCCUUACAUGGAAACACGGAAAAGGAAGGAAAUAUUCCAAGGUAGUAAAGUAGUAUUUGAAUGUUUAGUAAGAAUCAAGUGGUAACGUGAUAUAGCAUAUAUUUCUAUCAUGGUAUAUAAAGGUGGUAUUCAAACAAGAAAAGUGGCAAUUCUACUCGCCUAAAGUCGGAAUAUUAUGAGGAUUUGAAGGAGAAAUAAAAGUCCAAAUAUUAGGAGGGGAACAGUGGUAUUUAAACAAGUACAAAAAGAAUGAAAGUGGUAAUAUUUGGAGGAAGUAGUAUUUAAACAAGUAAAAAAAGAAUGAAAGUGGUAAUAUUUGGAGGAAGUGGUAUUUAAACAAGUACAAAAAGAAUGAAAGUGGUAAUAUUUGGAGGAAGUAGUAUUUAAACAAGUAAAAAAAGAAUGAAAGUGGUAAUAUUUGGAGGAAGUAGUAUUUAAACAAGUAAAAAAAGAAUGAAAGUGGUAAUAUUUGGAGGAAGUGGUAUAUUCCAUAUGUAACGUUUAAGCUGUGAUACGAUGAGAAGAAAGAUGAUGGAAGAUGAAAUAUUUGGAAAAAAUCAAUGAAAUGCUAGAAAUAUAAAUCUAUAUCUAGUCUGUCUUCUAAGCAUAUCCAAUUCAUCCUUUCAUUUCUCACUGGGGGGGGGGGGGCAUUUGGACACCCCUGGAUGAUGGCUUCAAUGAAAAUCCGUUUUCCACGGGGCGCGGCCGGGGGCUCCUUGAAGGGUGGCAUAAGUUGCACAUUUUCUGAUAUUGGGAAUGUUUUUUUUGGGGGGGGGGGGACAAAACCAUGUGAAUGGGUGGUCUGGGAUCGGCCGAUAUGAAAAGCACAAAUCCAAAGAUGGCACCGCAAGGCUCGGCUCGCUCGCCCGUCUCCAAAUGGCCUCCGGUCCGCACGCUUUCACGUUGUAGCAAAACAUUUAGUGGCGCGGGAUCAUCAGGGAAAAAUGGCGGCAUUGGAUGAUCGCCAUGUCAACGCCACGUCAACGCUUGAUUGUCAGGAACACAAACUGUAGAAGGACCAGCACCGCCUGUUGGAACUCGUGGGUUGUGUCCUUUGGUCUGGUCUGACGCUAAGUCGUACACGGCGUACUAAGUCGUACACGGCGUACUAAGUCGUACACGGCGUACUAAGUCGCACACGGCGUACUAAGUCGCACACGGCGUACUUUGGCCAGCUGACCUCCAUCUUGGAAGGCUAAGUGCAAUAACCAUUUCUUGAACGCGUUCACUGGAAGUUUUUGGGAAGUUGAAAGAGCCAAAGUCACGGAAGCUGUAGCAGAUGGAGGCGUUUCCUGUUCCCUUCUUGAAAGAACAAACCAUAACUGUGAUCCGGCAGCUCGGCCGAGGAAGGAAGCACCAGUUGGCGCGCUGGCUGCUUCCUUUCCUGCUUCCUUUCCUGCUUCCUUUCCUGCUUCCCUAGCGAUAGACCUGCAUGCCUAGAUGUGGACGCGUCCUUCUGGAAUGGAAGCUCUUCACCAAACCAUCAAACGUCCCGUUUGAUUGUCCUUCUGUUAGCGAGAGAGGGAAAAAACAUUCCCCUCAGAAGUUUUCCAAAAGCGGAAACGUUAGCCAGCGUGAAGGAUGGAUUUACGCUAGCAGUCACUCUUCCCCUUUGUUUUUGAGACCCUAGCUUUAGCUAGCAGUUUUAGCCGUUUCAUCAUUGGCAACAUCUCCAACGUCUCACGUAACUCCAACUAACUCGGAAUACAAUUGGAAUUGUCAUUUCUUUAUGCCGCACGUUUUCUUCACUGCAACGUAUCGGCCGUUACGCCAACUCUUCCACUUUGAAAGUAAGAUUUCUUUGAUAAUUGCAUAUAUUUUGUCAUGUAUCUCCACAGUUGCUGUAUGCUAGCGUUAGCAUUGGCAAAUGCAGCCACGUAUCUCCCGUUACGCUUCCAUUCUGGAUACGCCGUUUCCUUGAUGAUCACGUAGACGUCAGGAUGCAGUCGUACAUUUGCUACCAAUAUCGUCGAUGCCAACACGGUACGGUGGUUGGAUCUCCCCGUUCUCCAACUCCUCCGUUCCGUAAAUUCCGUAAUUUGAGUUUGGCAUUUCUUCUCAGGAUGAAUAUCGCUAGCCGAUGUUCCUUCCAAUAGGUUGCUGUAAACACAAUAUCCUAUCUCUCCCAAAAUGGGAUUGUACUCCCGCAACGUCCAUCCCGCCGCAAACGGAGCACCAUGUGGGCGUGCUCCCUCCAAAAUACUCCCAAAGGAAAAGUCUGUUUUUUUCCUGUUCCUAGUCGUAGCUUAUUUGCGGAAAAUCCCCCAAGAGUCUUUUAUCAGGAGCCAAAGGACUCUGAAUCAGGGCACGUGAUGACUUACAAUCAACUGAUUUCACAGCGCGCCUUGCCUUGGCUUCUCCGAACUAUCGGACAACUUAGUCAUUUAGGAAAACUGCAACAUUCCAAAGCUGGCUCCGUAUUCCGCCGUUAGUUGUUGCUUUGCGGGUGAGCCGUUUGUGUGUGUCAGCGACAGGGUUCCCUACUUCGCCGAUUACCUCAUUGACCCCAUCUGCAAACCCGCUCCUUCUGGGGCCGUGCACCCCACAAGGAGUCCACGCCGUCGUCACCAGCACUUCAGAGACCAAGCGACCGCCGCCGCCCGCGCCGCCACCGCCGCCUACGCCGCCGCCCGCGUUUCCUUGGCAAACUACAAAUCAUCACUUUUCUUUUUUUUUUUUUUUUGGUCUGUUUCUUUGCCGGCGCUGCAGCUCAUCCAGUCGAGCGUUCGCGGGAUUUUCCAAAACCGAGGUUUUUCACCCGCCCUCGUAAAUUGUAUCGAUUUCCACUUUUAAAAAAUAUAUUUUAUCCCAUCAAAUUUGACCAUCAAAUUUCAGCGUUUAAGCUGCUCAAAUAUACACAUUUUGGAUAUUGACUAUUUUUCCAAAGGGAUUUUUAUUUUGUUGCGGUUGUAAAAUUCCAAUUACAUUUUUUUAUGACAUCAGAAUAUUAGAGAUUUUUUUUGGGGGGCCCGUUAAAAAUCAAAUCAAACCAAAUUUUUGUGUAAAAUUGACUUUAUUUGGAAUGCAUAUAAUGACUUUAUUCCUGUUAGAUUACAACUCCCAUCAAAUUUGUCCGUGAAAUUUCAGCUUCGAAGCCACAAAAAUGUACAACUAUAAUAUAAUAUUGACAUAAUAUUGACAUAAUAUUGACAUAAUAUUGACAUAAUAUUGACAUAAUAUUGACAUAAUAUUGCCAAUUUUCCCGAGAGUAAUGAUUUUUUGGAUGUAAAAUUCCAAUAUGUUUUUUAAACACUUCAUGUUCAAAAAUAUUUCAAAUUUGCUGGAGUGAAAUGACAUCUUGUGGUAUGACAUUUAUUUUUGCGUUAUUCAUAAGAUAAUGUUGAAAAUAUUCAACUUUAUUUUCAUAUUCAUCACGUAAAAUUGGGGCAAUGUUCAAAUAUUUUUCUGGUAAAAAGGUCAGCCAAUGGAAACAUUUGUCUUUUUUUAGGUUAUAAAAAUGAUCAUCUGGGCACAUUAUGACUUUCCAUGGUUUUAAUGUUGCAACUUUAUUUUCGUAUGAGUCUUGUGAAAUUAGGACAAUGCUAAAAAACAAAAUGUUUCCUCGUGAAAUGAGGCCUUUUUGAAGGCAUUUAACGACUUUAUUCCUCUAUCAUUACAACUUUCAGACAAUGCAAACAUUUGUCUUUUUGGACAUCCUAGAAUUCCAACUUUUUCAAGCUCGUAAUUUUUCCGAGGGGAACGAUAUUUUUGUUUUUGUAAAAUUCCAUUCUAAUGUUCCGUUGCGACUUUUUCGGCACAUAACGACUCCAUUUGUGUGGGAUUCCGACUUGAAGCCAAACGCAAACUUUUGUGUUUCUGUACCAGAUGUCAAAUUGUCUCUUAAAGUCCGACUUUACGCCAGCAAAAUGACCCAUCUUUGUUUUCCUCAGUUUAUCAGUAUGUCCUCAGUUUAUUGUCACAUUAGGCUAUUCUCUUUCCAAGCGACAAAACGUGGCGUUGGCAACAACACAUUGGCUUUUUUUUCCUCAAAUUGUCCAAAUGAUUUCAUCAAUCAAAUGUAUUUUUUGUCCUCGUAUUGGAAUUGGAAUAGUUUGGGCUUUUUUCUUGAUAAAUCCAGAAAGAGUUGCCGUUAGCGCCCCUCGCGGGAAACUAGCGCUCCAACCUUGACGGGCGUCGCUAAUUAGCGAGCAAAGUGUUUGCGUCACUCGUUCAUUUUUCGUAGCAUUUCUUCUACCUCCUUUUGGGUUUUUUGUUGUUGUUGUUGUUGUUGUUGUUGUUUGUCUCCACCUUUUCUCUCACUUUGGAAGAAGUCGCCGUUUGGGACAAAAACCAUUUGAUGAUCCUAAGGCUAGCUAGAAUAAAAAGAUCCAAUAAAGUGUGCUUGCUGUACCUGUAGAUGUUUGUUUGGGUAAAAAAACUAUUUAUGAGAAGCAUUUAUACGACUAAACACCACUGGAAUGUGAAGCCAGACCAUAUGUUCCCAUGCAGAUUCCCAUGAUGGUCCCCUUUAACGCUAAAGUAGCGUCGAGUGGUCCUGUCGGAGGGUUUGGGCUUUUUUGGCCUCUUAAGUCGUAAAAUAUUGCGACCCGGCGCAAAUCCCCGCUCCCGUCUUUUUAAAGACCGAACAAAAUGGAUGUUUUGAGGCCCUAAACCCCGCCCCCUUGCCCCUUCUAGACAGACGCAGGCCCCGCCCCCACCCUAGCCUAGCCCCGCCUCAGCGGAACAUGUUUUUGGUUUGUCAGACAAUGCAAUCCUGAAAGCACUUUGCCUUGUUAUUCCUUUUGUGUGAACACGUGAAUGAUUUGUUACAGAGAUGAUGCUAAUAAUAAUAAUGUUGAUAAAUAUGUAAAUGAUCAUUCACUGUUUUGGAACAACCUGCAUCUGUCUUUCUGACAUUAAAAGAAAAAGGAGAAAAAUCCAAUGUAGUGACAUGAAAAGCUAUUUUCUAGAAUGUUUGCUGCAGCCGAUCGGUCUCGUCAUUCAGUAUUGUGGCUUGGGGUUGUUUGUGUUCAAUAAAGUGCUAUUGCUAAAUAUCCACGCCUCUUUGUCGCCGUUUCCUGCGCUCGCUCUCGUCAUCUGCUACCUCACCCACGUGGCUGGCUGGAGCGCUCAUCUCGUGCUGGAAGACGCAGCCGAGCUUGUGUCGUCCAUAUUCAUUUUUCUAUUUUUUCAGUUUUCUGGACAAACUCUUGAGGUGUUUUUUAGGUGGUCCGCGUGGCUAAGAUCCAGGAGUUUAAGCCCAAAGAGCGAGGCAAAAGCCACAAUGACUUCUUACAUCGGAGAGGAAUUGAACGCCUUCAAUGGCAACCCAUGUUAUCAGGAAAGUCCACUCACCACCUCAGACAACGAAAACGCUGCCACCGAACUGUUGGCCCACAUCUUUUUCUGCAUCCUCACGAGCUGAAAAACCGCAACGGAUAUGCAGAAAAAAUGAGACAAGCUGAGGAAAUCUGAGGUUGUUGCAGGAAAGACUCAAUGUUUGAUUUCUAAGCACGCCAGCCACAGAUGGAACAUCUUAUAUAGCGCCAAAAGACCGGGAUCAAACCCCUCCUUUGGCCUGACGUCAGGUCAUCAAUGUGCUGACGUGUGGACUGUACCAUUACUGCUGAUCAAUGUGCUGACGUGUGGACUGUACCAUUACUGCUGAUCAAUGUGCUGACGUGUGGACUGUACCAUUACUGCUGAUCAAUGUGCUGACGUGUGGACUGUACCAUUACUGCUGAUCAAUGUGCUGACGUGUGGACUGUACCAUUACUGCUGGAUGAAGACAAGGAUGACGUUUUGGGCGACCCUGGCUAGAGCAAAAUGGUGGCUUGUUCAUGCAGCAUGGUUGGAGAAACAUAUUGCUUUUAUACGUGUGUAUAUAUAUAUAUAUAUAUAUAAUAUAAAUAUGAUAUAUUACAGAGCUGUUGUUUUGUUGUAGCUGACCAAAACGAUUGGCUGUCACUGCUGCUCUGCGGCUAAGUCACCGCCAUCCAAUAAUAGACGAUAUACAAUACAUAUAUGUAACCCAGAUAGAAAAUAAAUAAUAUAUAAUUAAUUACAUUUACCGUGCGUACCAUGUUUUGGGGUGCAACGUCAUUAGGUCACGUGACGGUGUCUCACCAAGUCACGUGACUGCGCGCCACCAAUCAGUGACGUAUAUCUAGUCCGGAAGGGACUACACACCGGUAGCGGUGAGGGACGCAUGGAAUGGCUGCAGGGGCCGUCCACCGACGCGACGCUGAACUUAAAAAGAUCACACCUAUGGAAUUGAUUGGAGAGACUAUACGUAGCAAAGCGGUGUCGGGGUUGCCACACGCAACGUGUCCAAGUCCUUUCCGUCAGCUUUAGUGCCAGCUUCUGCCGUGGGAAAUGUGGCACACUUCAGCAGUCACACUUUCUCCAUGAAAAAAGCAGCGGCCCUGCUAGGCGCCGCGCUUCCCAUCCCGGCCCCGACGCUCCUGCAAAAGGAACCCGUCCAGACUUGAUCUCAGUUGUCCAUCUCUCCCAAAUGAAAGCCGCCAUGGGAGAUAAUCCUCGCCUGAAGUCAUCACAUGGACAAGAGGAGUGUCCGUAUCAGGGGUGUCCAAAGUGUGUCCCGGGACAUUCAAAAAAUAACAUUUAAAAAAAACUAAAAUAAUGAAAAAAAAUCUGUAACUUCAGAAAUAUUACAGAAAAAAGCUGUAAUCUAAGGAGAAUAAACACAUAAUUAUAUUUUUUUGAAGAACCAAACAAAACAAAACAAAAAAAGGUUGUCAUUUUUGGAAAAUGAGGUUGGGGAUGAAGUUAUAAUAUCAUAGGAAUAAAUUCAUAAAUAUUAUGGGAAUAAAGCUGUAAUAUUAUGGAAAUAAAAUCACAAUAUUAUGGAAAUAAAAUCAUAAUAUUAUGGGACCAAAGAUUAGAUUCAGAAUAUUAUGGGAAUAAAUGCCCAUAGAAAUAGAGUCAUAAUAUUAUUUACCAACUUUAUGCAAGAAGAAAGUUGAAAUGUUUGUGAAACAGCCAAAAUAGGUGGGAAAAAAUUGGUAGUAAUUUUACAAAAAUAAAACCAAAAAUCGGAGGAGAAAAAGUUGUCAUGCUGAUGAAAUGAUUUUGCUUUCAUUAGCGUUGGCUCCAAGCCAAGGGCUGCUCGCCGUGCUCGUCCUUCCAUCGGUUGCUUUACGUGUGACAGAGGCGGACAAAAGCGAUAGUCGUCACAUAGUCGUCACAGGACAACGUGAAACAUGCCAGGAUUAUGUCGAGUAUAACACAGACUCGUACGUCACAGCAAGCUCACAAUGAUUGCAGCCACUAGGUGGCGCCAAAACACCCUUUCACAUUUUGACUACGAGACUUUUCCUUGUCAUGUUACCAGUUUUUGUUUUUUUUUAGAUACUCACACCCGACUAUGAUUGGCUGGCGACCAGUCCAGGGUGUACCCCGCCUCUCGCCCGAAGACAGCUGGGAUAGGCUCCAGCACCCCCCGCGACCCUCGUGAGGAAAAGCGGUAGAAAAUGAAUGAAUGAAUGAACACCCGACUAGAAGCGACAGGAUGCACGGAGACGAGAGACAGACCCUUUGGGCCUGCCGUCAACAAAUCUACCAAGUGCAUUAGCCAUGUCAAACCUGUGCAAAUAUUUGCAGCGAGAGUGAGACGGAUGUUUGCUUGGGUAUACAAGAAGCGUCCCAGCACGCUUAUGCGAGGAGGACAAGAUAAAUACCACCCCCUCCGCUCGUUAAUAGUCAGGGAGCAGAUAAGCCGGGGGAAUCCGUCUGGCGGAACACCAACAACGCUCGGGGGGCCCACGGAAAAUCGGAAGUCAGAAAUAGACCCGUCAGCGAUUAGUGGCUCAAAAAUAACAUCAACAACUUCAGUAGCAUAGAAUUGGAAUAUUGGAAAGGCAACUAUUUCAUGUUUACUUCAUGUUUAGAGGGCUCUAAUGAUGUUAAAAUAAUAAUAAUGUUAAAAUGUAUGUUGACAACUGGCGGUUUCCUAUCUCUUGGAAGUCACGUUUCCUCUUAUUAUGUCUACUAUAUUAGGUCAUAAUAGGAGUGUAAAGGUGACUAUAACAAUGUUUAAAAGCAUAUUUGUGUACUUAUUUUCUCUAAUGAUGUUGAGCAUAUUGGGUCAAAGGUGACUACAGGGGUGUUAUCACAUGUCUAGAGAGCUCUAAUAAUGUAAGAAAGUGGAUUUGAAGAUUUCAUAACAUCUAUAACGGCUUUUCUAUGUCUUAUAAGUCAUAUUUAUUCUAAUGUAUGUACGUAUGUCUACCACGUAUAUUGGGUAAUAGGAGUGUAAAGGCGACUAUAGGGGUGUUAUUGCAUAUCCAGAGGGCUCCAAUAAUAUUGCAAAAGGUGGUAAACAGGUCUUCUCUGUCUCAUAAGUCACAUUGUCUCUGAUUAUAUCGACUAUAUUUGAUAAGAGGAAUGUACAAGUCAUUAUACGGGUGUUAUUUCAUGUUUUGAGGGCUCAAAAAAUUGUGUGUUUUGU